rnacentral:rRNA from 1 species
GAUGAACGCUAGCGGCAGGCCUAAUACAUGCAAGUCGAGGGGUAUAGUAGCAAUACUGGAGACCGGCGCACGGGUGCGUAACGCGUAUGAAAGGUGUCCGAAUCACUGGGAUAGCCCCCGGAAACGGGGAUUAAUACCGGAUGGUCUGAUAUGGUGGCAUCAUCAAAUCAGUAAAGCUCAGGCGGAUUCGGGUCCUCAUGCGUAUGAUUAGCUAGUUGGCGGGGUAACGGCCCACCAAGGCGACGAUCAUUAGGGGUCCUGAGAGGGGGUCCCCGACACUGGUACUGAGACACGGGCCAGACUCCUACGGGAGGCAGCAGUAGGGAAUAUUGGGCAAUGGAGGCAACUCUGACCCAGCCAUGCCGCGUGCAGGAAGAA